rnacentral:lncRNA from 1 species
UGUUAAAUUAAACUAAAGUUUACUAAAAGACAACAUAAAAAUUACGUUUUUGAACAACAUUAAAGGAACAGCUGCAUCCCUACAGCAACUGCUGCAGUAUCACAAUAGGUUACCAAAAGCAGUUAAACAAGUCGGCUUUCCAUUAAAGAUAUUGGUUUUAAAAUUGAACAUCAUUGGCAAAAUGCUUACUAAAUUAGGCUAUGCUUGGCUCCUCGGUGCUGUAAAUGGUGGCUUCA